rnacentral:rRNA from 1 species
CUUUCCCUCUGGCGGCAGGCCUAACACAUGCAAGUCGAGCGGAUGAAGGGAGCUUGCUCCUGGAUUCAGCGGCGGACGGGUGAGUAAUGCCUAGGAAUCUGCCUGGUAGUGGGGGAUAACGUCCGGAAACGGGCGCUAAUACCGCAUACGUCCUGAGGGAGAAAGUGGGGGAUCUUCGGACCUCACGCUAUCAGAUGAGCCUAGGUCGGAUUAGCUAGUUGGUGGGGUAAAGGCCUACCAAGGCGACGAUCCGUAACUGGUCUGAGAGGAUGAUCAGUCACACUGGAACUGAGACACAGUCCAGACUCCUACGGGAGGCAGCAGUGGGGAAUAUUGGACAAUGGGCGAAAGCCUGAUCCAGCCAUGCCGCGUGUGUGAAGAAGGUCUUCGGAUUGUAAAGCACUUUAAGUUGGGAGGAAGGGCAGUAAGUUAAUACCUUGCUGUUUUGACGUUACCAACAGAAUAAGCACCGGCCAACUUCGUG